rnacentral:rRNA from 1 species
GACGAACGCUGGCGGCGUGCUUAACACAUGCAAGUCGAACGGGAAGGCCCUGCUUUUGUGGGGUGCUCGAGUGGCGAACGGGUGAGUAACACGUGAGUAACCUGCCCUUGACUUUGGGAUAACUUCAGGAAACUGGGGCUAAUACCGGAUAGGAGCUCCUGCUGCAUGGUGGGGGUUGGAAAGUUUCGGCGGUUGGGGAUGGACUCGCGGCUUAUCAGCUUGUUGGUGGGGUAGUGGCUUACCAAGGCUUUGACGGGUAGCCGGCCUGAGAGGGUGACCGGCCACAUUGGGACUGAGAUACGGCCCAGACUCCUACGGGAGGCAGCAGUGGGGAAUAUUGCACAAUGGACGGAAGCCUGAUGCAGCAACGCCGCGUGCGGGAUGACGGCCUUCGGGUUGUAAACCGCUUUCGCCUGUGACGAAGCGUGAGUGACGGUAAUGGGGAAAGAAGCACCGGCUAACUACGU